rnacentral:rRNA from 1 species
GGUUUGGCGGUGAUGGAUGGGGAUGCGUCUGAUUAGCUUGUUGGCGGUAACGGCCACCAGGCUACGAUCAGUAGGGUUCUGAGAGGAAGGUCCCCCACAUUGGAACUGAGACACGGUCCAAACUCCUACGGGAGGCAGCAGUGAGGAAUAUUGGUCAAUGGGCGAGAGCCUGAACCAGCCAAGUAGCGUGCAGGAUGACGGUCCCUAUGGGUUGUAAACUGCUUUUACGCGGGGAUAAAGUGCGUGACGUGUCGCGCAUCGCAGGUACCGCGUGAAUAAGGACCGGGCUAAUUCCGUGCCAGCAGCCGCGGUAAAU